CUAAGAUCGCGAAACAGUCUAAUGCGAUUAGAAUCUUUUUUGUGCGUUCAAGCUCAUUUUGACGAGUUUCACUACCUCGGGGUGUGUAAAUUUUGUAUGGAAAAGACGUCAAAUGAGCUUGUCAGCGUAACGGAGUUUUGCCAUAGAAGAAGAAGGCUCGUAAUAGCGUCCCUAGUGUCUUCGCGCAACGGUCGAGUGCGCCGGAAGUUCUCGGCAACUGCAAGGGUGGUUGGAAACAUGCAAGUGAGCUAGACGAGGAAAGGAAUACUGGAAGUGCAGGGUUACUCAAGAAUGCACGUCGAUUUGAAGUAGAAUAUGUGGAUAAUGGGAUUUAGAGGAUAUGUUGCUUUCAGAAGAAGACAGGUAGUGAACAUCGGAAUAUCAUACAGUAUAGAGCUAGCUGUGUUCGACAAUGAGUUUGGUUAUUGCAAAGGGAAUGGACUGUUUCACAACCUCAACCCUCCAAUUGAAUUAUACACAGUGACUUGAAAACAUGCAAUGUACUGGUUGAUCGCAAUUGUUCUCGCAAAAUAAGUGCCUUUGGGUUGUCAACAAUGAGAGGACUUUCGAACAGACAUCAGUACAAUUUAGCAGUAGCUCAAGGGUGGUGGGAACAGUGACAUUCACGGCUCCAGAAUCAUUUCAGAACAGCGUAGAGAAGAAACGAGAAACUAAGGUUGAUGUUUACUCGUGUGUCAUAUGGUAUGGGUGGAUUUUGGACCCCCUUGAACUGAAACCCGUUCUACUAAUGGACAAAAUUGCGGAUAGAAUAAAUAAUGGAUUAGAUUUAUUGGAAUGGCACUUCAGAAAUCUAGACAAGUUGCUGAGGAAGAGGUGUCUGCUAGCUGUUACCAGCUUGUACUACUAAAGCUAUGACGUUGCUGUCAUUACUUUGCAGGCUCAUCUUUUACCUA